UUGUGAUUGUUUUCUUUAGGGAGGAAGAACAAUGUCAGCUACCAUGAUCAAGAUGGUCUUAGCUCUGCUACUCGUCACAUUGGUUAGAUCAUAUGGGGAAGAAUGGUGCAUAGCUAAUUCCACUUGCCCAGACCCGGUGCUGCAACAUGGCCUUAAUUGGGCUUGUGCAAAUGGAGCCGACUGCGACAAAACCCUACCUGGUCAACCUUGCUUCUUACCGAACUCCCUAAAGGACCAUGCCUCUUAUGCCUACAACAGCUACUAUAAGAAGUUCAAGACCCAAGGGGCAACUUGCAACUUUGCUUAUUCCGGAAUACUCACCAAUGUGGAUCCAAGCCAUGAAAAUUGCGUGUUCGAUUAACUUUUUGGAGUUGAGAAGCUAUGAGGAUCUGCAGCAAUAAAUCAGAUCUAAGUUUAGGGGCUCUCCCUCUAGUGGGAAAUAAAAUGUAUGCUUUAUGUUAUAUGAACUUUGUACCUUAGCUCAUGGUUUUUGAUAUAUUUGGGGCCCAUUUUCUUUUGCAUAA